rnacentral:lncRNA from 1 species
ACAGAUACACCACCGUCCAGCCUCUUGCCACGGAGGGUACACGCUACUCUCGCCACCGCUCCACGCCCAUUUCGUGUUAUCUUAUUCUGGCCUUAGUCUUCCCGAGGCAAGGCUUACCCAUGACGAGGCAUGUGACCAGUUAAAGGGUCCUCGAUCAGCACGCCUACAUACACGUUCAAUCCUUAAUCAACCUGGGUAGAACAUCACCUGUUCCUAACCCAAGUCUCAAUUUAAGUAUUCCCAUCCUUAGGAUUGUUUCUGUUCCUUAGGAUGAGAAGAGCAUCAUAGGGAACUUUACAGUAAGAUCCCACCAUUGCUCCAAAUGAAAAUAUUCUUGCAGGUAGAAGUCAUCCUUUCUCGAGCUAGGCUAAGGACAACCUCUAUCCACAAGAUCUGAGCAAGGCUAAGCAUUUUUGUAAAUCAUAUUUUGAUACUUCACUGAAGUAUCUAUAAAGGUAUGGAUAUCAAGGAAAGCAAUGCAUCAAAGGGUUCCAAGCAACUCCUAUGAACCUAAUGCACAUUUCAUUAGACUUAAAGUGUGCGAAAAUUAUUUAAAAACACAAGGAAAGGGUUGCAUGCACCGGGGCUUGCCUUCGUUAGUAGGUGAGUCAGGCUCGGACCCGCAGAUGUCGAAGUAGAGCCAAGUCCCUGCCUGAGAUUCCAAAGGUGGUGGUGUCUUCUCUUCAGUCACUUCACUCUCUUCUUCGUUUUCUAAAUAUAACCAUAUAGGUAUAUAUAUAAGAAUGAAUGCCAUGUAAUGCUUAUGAGAGUGCAUAGAUAAUAAAGGUUUAUUAACUAAGUUUUGAAUACAACUUUCCUUCACGGAACUCCGAGAACUUAGGGUUUCCGGAGUCAGUAAAGGAGUUCAAAGGGCAGGGGUAGGGUUUGGGUUAUAAGUAUCAAACAAUGUCCAAAUCAUAUCAAACUCUACCCAAGGUCUCAUAAUAUUGUUGAGAGAUUACCCUAAAAAUUUAGUGAAUUUUGGAUUUAUUAUAUAAUCUCUAAAAAUUCAGAAACAUGGUUUUUGGAUGAUUUAAAUACUCUAUAAUUUCCUAUUUGGACUAAAAAUCAUGAAACUAUUUUUAUUAAAUUCUAUAGGAAAUUAGAAGCCCAUUAAAAUUGGUUUGGUAUUUUUAUCAUUUUUCUUGAAUUCUUUAUGGAUUUCUCAACUUUCUUAGAAAAAGAAAAAGAAAAACGUUCAAUAGUAUUGGGCCAAAUUGUGCCCAACCGGCCCAGUUUAAGCAGAUUACAGGGGCGCGCCCGCGGCAGCGCAGCCUGUUUUGCAUAAAAGUCCUUGCCAGAGUUAAUAUUAGGAACGAAGUCCUCAACUGAACUCUGCGAGUCACUGACAUUUUACUUCUGGCCCCUUCUAGGUUUCUCGUCUUUACAACGUGAGUCCCUAACGUCGCCGGCGGCGCGGACGCAUUCCCACCGCGACACAACGGCGGAGGAGAGCCCGGGCAGCCGUUGGAUAGCGACCAGACCAAAUCCUAACCUACCCCGAGCAUCUAUAGGCAUGGAUUUGACUCACUAACUUACAGAGUGCCAUGACCACGUUCAAGGCGGGAGCCCAGUACCGCGACGUUCACCCAAAUGGCUCCGGCACAGGAUGUUUCAAAUUGAGGGCACAUGGAGCACGAGUAGGGUGCGGGAAACACGACGCUCACAAGAAUUGCCCCUGGGCCAACUGAACUUUGAGUGGGUCAUCACCUGGACAGUUCACGCGGUGUCAAGCCCGUGUUCCGACCAAACCAAGACCGUAAGGACCAAACGGACUUCUCGGUGAGCUUCACCAAGGUACGGGGAUGCUAGAACAUCAGCUUGUGGGGGUUAAGACAUACCACAGUCGUCUGGCCACGUGAAGCCGAGGUGUUGCCGGGGUGGUCAUCAAAUAAGUUUGGUGCCUUGAUCGAUGGAACUUGGGUGUGUCUAGGGUAUGAUUUGGGGGUGUAGUACUACUAAUCAUGGCUGCUCAACAUGGUUGAUGGUGAACUAAGGAUCACUGGUUGGGUUUCUACCUUUCCCUCCCCAGUUGCUCUUUAUAUAGGCAGGGAAAAGAUCACAGGGGUUGGAUGCUUGAACUUGCAGCAAGGACAGCUAUGAACUCUAAAUGCAGUCGUGGCUUCCUCCAGUAAAUCCACGCCAACACAUAGAGCCUAGCUACGCAGGGUGGAGAUUAUCCAUGGGCAAAAGAAAAGAGGGGGUAAGGAUGAGGUGCACUGUACAGGAUAUUUGCACAGGUGAUAUUUCAGGGAUGCACCAAUCUGAAUACCCUUGCCAGCACACCAUCCCAAUCUUCAUCCUAUUCCAAAGUUGGUCACGGCAAGAAAAACUGAACUUGGUCACUUCUAGCAGCCAAAUAUCUGAUUUGUCCCUUUCUGUAGAUAGUAAACCAACAGAUAAGAAUUCUAGUGUGUGCAGACUUAAAUGGAUCCAAACUGAUAUUUCUAAAGGGAUGAAGCCACUAGAACUGCUGCUGUCCAGCAUACCCCAUUAAAGAUUCAUUAGAUGAGGACCCCCUCUCAUUCACUGCUCACAAAAUAGGUCAAAAUUUGGAUAUUUUUUAGUAGAUCUGAGGCCACUAGAUCCCUGGCUCUGGACUUCGACCUUAUACCUACCCAAACAUCCAAAGAAACCAGCAGGGAGAGGAGAUAAUCUUCUUCAGAAACUGUCUUCAGUCCUAAACGAAUUACUGUUGCUUAGCUGGACUGACAGGGGCCUUUCAAGGUCAUUCCCUUACAUUUUCCCUGUAGCAACACCUUAAUUUAAUCAUAGGAAACUUGCUCAUUGACUAUAGCUCUUCAACCCACUACAGCAUUCCACUGCUAGAAACACAUGGAUCACAAACUAUAAGGUUCCAAAGCCAAGCACACACUCUGAAACUCUUCUUCAGAGAGCUGAACUCAAAUGCAACCCUUUAAGUCUGACAAGGCAUAUUAGAGAGCAUUUUACUCACAAUUCCAUAUGACAACAGACCCAUCUCCCUUAACAAGCCUUAUUCUCCAACCAUAGGUCUUCCACUUUGGUACAACACUCCAAAGCUGAAACUACUCAGAAUUGAAGUUGUGGUGUUCCAAAUUAUAGCAGAAACAGUCAAACACUCGGUCUCAGCUUAACUGAACAGCCCUCACUAUUUCUGACAGAGGACGUUACAGCUCCAUUAUCUCUCAAUCUUUACAUAACAACAGGACCAUCUCCUUGCAUGAAACUUGUCCAUCUAUAUCUGGUAUCCAACUUUUCUAUAGAAACUAUAGUCUAAAACUACUCAUAUUGAUCACAAAACAGCUCCAAAUUAAGCAUCCUAUACUGAAAUUCAGGUUUCAGAGACUGAACCCAAAGCAGUUGGAACCAGCCUGACAGUCCAAUUUUGAGCCACUUUUACUCCUUUUUCUGUGUAGCACCAAACCAAACUCACUUAAAGAAAUUUGUUCUCCUAUAUAUGGUCUUCCAUUUUGAUAUACAACUCUUGGUCUAAAACCAUAUAUAUUAAUCACAACUGAGCUCCAAACAGAGCAUCAUUGGCUGUUUUUCAGAGUUUCAGCUCUGAACCACUAAGUCACCAAUAUACUGACAGUCCAUUUUUAGGCAAGCUUUACUCCAAAUUUUGCAUGGGGUCAUGUCAAACUCACUUAAUAAAACUUGUUCACCAUCAUAUGGACUUCAACUUCUCUAUAAACACCAUAGUCCAAAGUUCUAUGGUUUAGCCACAAAUGAGCUCCAAACAGCAUACUCAACACUGAAACUCCACUCACUUCACUAUUCACUAUCUGAAAUUCCAUGAGUCUGUCAACACUUCUUUGGACCACCUUUUCUGCUGGUAGCAUAUACUUUUAAGGCAAAGUUGCUUAACAAAUUUUGUACUUCAAUAGUUCCUCUACAAUUUCUAUAUAGUGACCCUUAGCUAAACCCUUUUGGAUUCCACUCUACCACAACCCAAAGUUUGCACAAAAUACUGAAAUUCAGACUGUAUUUUAUUAAGUUUGAACCCCACACUUUCCAGCAGCUCUACUUUAGACCAGUUCUUCUCCAAAUUCCAUAUAGAUUUAAGGCUAGGUUACUCAAUCAAAGUCACACUCCUCACAUAGCUUUAUAAUUUUUUUACAAUGACUACCUUCAAAAUGUUUAUAGAUCAGAAGUUAUAAAGGACCAAAACUUCCUAGUUGCUACUAUUUUCAGCAAUUCCAAUCUGAGCUCAAAACUGAACUUUGAUGAUUUACUCCAAUUUUCUUCACACAACAUGGGAAUCUCCAAAUAAGAAAUUCAUUCACUUUUUCAAGCUCCACAACUUUGAUAUAUGGACUUUUGUCAAAUUACUUCUAGAUUUUGAAUUCCUCUUUUGGGCUAGUUUUAGUGUUUCACAUGUUCUUCAUUUUCUUCAAGUGUUUCUUCCACUUGCUCUACCUUUGAAAACAAGGUUGCCAUAAACUCUAGGACUUGCCUUUAGCACUUGAAGUUUCCAAGUCAAUUUGUUAUUUGCUCAAGAGUUGACCUACUCUUGUCUAGCUUAAGCCAAGUCCUUAAACUAAACUCUAACAACACACAACAUCACACUGUUUGAAAAAAAAUUAACCUAGUGAAUGCAUUCUAAGUGUAACAAGCACAUUAAUGCAGAUGCUUAUGAUGACAUGUCGGAGUUUUAGUUUACGUAACACCAGAGGUGUUACAACCUUCCCCCCUAAAAAGAAAUCUCGUCCCGAGAUUUAAAAGUCUAGGCUUAGUAAUGGAAAAGGAAACGUGUCACGGACUUAUUUCCUAAUUUCUCUUACAAGGUAGGGGAGGUGUUUUGUUUUACUUAACCACGAUGUUGUUCAACACCUCUAAGGCAGUUACCUAAGCUCCUUCCCAAGGAGUCAUUCCUUUAGAAUGGAACAUCCAAUGUGGCCAAGAUGGUUUUCUAGCACGUUCUGGAAUACGCACUACUACUCAUACCAUGGUUGUCCUCUAAGAAUAGUGUGCGACAACAUUUCUCUAAGGGGGAAAUCUUUUAUUAGCAUAGUUCUUAGCAUGAUGCAUGUAUAAUUACAGAAUCAACCUUAGUUGAUUCAACCUUCUAUGCAUUACACUCUUCCUAUCUGGUCUUUAAAAUAAACUCUUCAGAAACACUUAGGUAAGAAGGGAAGAAAUUUUUUAGAUAAGUCUUUAGAAAAUUCUUUUUGAAGAUGCCUCAUAAUAUCUGCAGAGAUGGGCUUCGCUCCGAUACCAGCUGUGACGGAACCUCCCAAGUAAUUAGGCCCACCUACAGUUGUCCUUGUCCAACAGACAUCAGACAACCCUGUAGAUGUUCCUGAAUCACUUGACAAGUUCGGUAUCUUCUUUUCUCACCUUUCCCAAGAGCGUUUCACCCGUCUUGCAGACAUUACAGAACAUCGGAGAUAUAGAAAUGCGGAAGCAAUUAUAUAAACUUACAUUUAUUUAGAAAGUAAGAUCAAGUUAUUUAUUACAGACCAGAGUUAUAAAACGAGUGCAGGGUAGUAUUAUUACACAUACCAGGGGAGGCAAAAACUCCUCCCGAUAACUAUCAAACAAAGGUUCUUAUGGAGGACCACGUCCUCCCGCAUCUUCACUCUUGUUUUUCUUCAUUUGACACCACCUUGGAGCAAAAGCAACAAAAAUUUGUCGCUUCCUCACCUAAAAACAACGGAGGGAUAAACCCUGAGUAUGGAAUUACUCACCAAGUCUUACCCGACUAAGAAAAAGACUCUCAAGGGUAUGCUGGAUAAUUAGGAAUCAAGGAGAGGCUUUAGCAAAAAUCAACUUAGAUACUUUUGCAGAAAUAGCUUACUAAAGUGAGUCCUUACUUUCAAUAUUUUAACACCAUAUUAAGUAUUAAUAGACUCUAUUUGCAUCUAGUCUAAUUUCACCAUCUCAUCAAUACAACAUCAUUUUUAUUCAUAAUGUUCACAUCCUGACUUAGGUUGUAGGGAAGUGACCAAGUCUUCAUAACCGCGAAGGUACGGCGAUCUGAAUCGAUUAUACUCAGCUGAGGAUCUCCAAUCACACGACAUAUGUAGCACUUAACCCUUGCAUAUGUCAACCCGCCACCGGGGUUCUUAAGACCAGAUCAGGUUCACGCAAACCGAGAGCACAGAUACACCACCGUCCAGCCUCUUGCCACGGAGGGUACACGCUACUCUCGCCACCGCUCCACGCCCAUUUCGUGUUAUCUUAUUUUGGCCUUAGUCUUCCCGAGGCAAGGCUUACCCAUGACGAGGCAUGUGACCAGUUAAAGGGUCCUCGAUCAGCACGCCUACAUACACGUUCAAUCCUUAAUCAACCUGGGUAGAACAUCACCUGUUCCUAACCCAAGUCUCAAUUUAAGUAUUCCCAUCCUUAGGAUUGUUUCUGUUCCUUAGGAUGAGAAGAGCAUCAUAGGGAACUUUACAGUAAGAUCCCACCAUUGCUCCAAAUGAAAAUAUUCUUGCAGGUAGAAGUCAUCCUUUCUCGAGCUAGGCUAAGGACAACCUCUAUCCACAAGAUCUGAGCAAGGCUAAGCAUUUUUGUAAAUCAUAUUUUGAUACUUCACUGAAGUAUCUAUAAAGGUAUGGAUAUCAAGGAAAGCAAUGCAUCAAAGGGUUCCAAGCAACUCCUAUGAACCUAAUGCACAUUUCAUUAGACUUAAAGUGUGCGAAAAUUAUUUAAAAACACAAGGAAAGGGUUGCAUGCACCGGGGCUUGCCUUCGUUAGUAGGUGAGUCAGGCUCGGACCCGCAGAUGUCGAAGUAGAGCCAAGUCCCUGCCUGAGAUUCCAAAGGUGGUGGCGUCUUCUCUUCAGUCACUUCACUCUCUUCUUCGUUUUCUAAAUAUAACCAUAUAGGUAUAUAUAUAAGAAUGAAUGCCAUGUAAUGCUUAUGAGAGUGCAUAGAUAAUAAAGGUUUAUUAACUAAGUUUUGAAUACAACUUUCCUUCACGGAACUCCGAGAACUUAGGGUUUCCGGAGUCAGUAAAGGAGUUCAAAGGGCAGGGGUAGGGUUUGGGUUAUAAGUAUCAAACAAUGUCCAAAUCAUAUCAAACUCUACCCAAGGUCUCAAAAUAUUGUUGAGAGAUUACCCUAAAAAUUUAGUGAAUUUUGGAUUUAUUAUAUAAUCUCUAAAAAUUCAGAAACAUGGUUUUUGGAUGAUUUAAAUACUCUAUAAUUUCCUAUUUGGACUAAAAAUCAUGAAACUAUUUUUAUUAAAUUCUAUAGGAAAUUAGAAGCCCAAUAAAAUUGGUUUGGUAUUUUUAUCAUUUUUCUUGAAUUCUUUAUGGAUUUCUCAACUUUCUUAGAAAAAGAAAAAGAAAAACGUUCAAUAGUAUUGUGCCAAAUUGUGCCCAACCGGCCCAGUUUAAGCAGAUUACAGGGGCGCGCCCGCGGCAGCGCAGCCUGUUUUGCAUAAAAGUCCUUGCCAGAGUUAAUAUUAGGAACGAAGUCCUCAACUAAACUCUGCGAGUCACUGACAUUUUACUUCUGGCCCCUUCUAGGUUUCUCGUCUUUACAACGUGAGUCCCUGACGUCGUCGGCGGCGCGGACGCAUUCCCACCGCGACACAACGGCGGAGGAGAGCCUGGGCAGCCGUUGGAUAGCGACCAGACCAAAUCCUAACCUACCCCGAGCAUCUAUAGGCAUGGAUUUGACUCACUAACUUACAGAGUGCCAUGACCACGUUCAAGGCGGGAGCCCAGUACCGCGACGUUCACCCAAAUGGCUCCGGCACAGGAUGUUUCAAAUUGAGGGCACAGGGAGCACGAGUAGGAUGCGGGAAACACGACGCUCACAAGAAUUGCCCCUGGGCCAACUGAACUUUGAGUGGGUCAUCACCAGGACAGUUCACGCGGUGUCAAGCCCGUGUUCCGACCAAACCAAGACCGUAAGGACCAAACGGACUUCUCGGUGAGCUUCACCAAGGUACGGGGAUGCUAGAACAUCAGCUUGUGGGGGUUAAGACAUACCACAGUCGUCUGGCCACGUGAAGCCGAGGUGUUGCCGGGGUGGUCAUCAAAUAAGUUUGGUGCCUUGAUCGAUGGAACUUAGGUGUGUCUAGGGUAUGAUUUGGGGGUGUAGUACUACUAAUCAUGGCUGCUCAACAUGGUUGAUGGUGAACUAAGGAUCACUGGUUGGGUUCCUACCUUUC